GGAGAGGUGUGUGAGUGGUUGAAACAGCAGGUCUCGAAAACCUGUAUACCGCAAGGUAUCGAGGGUUCAAAUCCCUCCCUCUCCG
rnacentral:tRNA from 1 species